rnacentral:rRNA from 1 species
ACGAAGGGGGCUAGCGUUGUUCGGAAUUACUGGGCGUAAAGCGCGCGCAGGCGGUCUUCCAAGUCAGGGGUGAAAUCCUGGAGCUCAACUCCAGAACUGCCUUUGAUACUGGGAAGCUUGAGUCCGGGAGAGGUGAGUGGAACUGCGAGUGUAGAGGUGAAAUUCGUAGAUAUUCGCAAGAACACCAGUGGCGAAGGCGGCUCACUGGCCCGAUACUGACGCUGAGGCACGAAAGCGUGGGGAGCGAACAGGA